rnacentral:rRNA from 1 species
UACGGGGGGGAGCAAGCGUUGUUCGGAUUUACUGGGCGUAAAGGGCGCGUAGGCGGCGCAACAAGUCACUUGUGAAAUCUCCGGGCUUAACUCGGAACGGCCAAGUGAAACUGUCAAGCUAGAGUGCAGAAGGGGCAAUCGGAAUUCCGGGUGUAGCGGUGGAAUGCGUAGAGAUCCGGAGGAAGACCGGUGGCGAAGGCGGUCUGCUGGGCAGUUUCUGACACUGAGGCGCGACAGCGUGGGGAGCAAACAGG